rnacentral:ncRNA from 2 species
CCACGACCCGCAGGAGAGAGCGCAUAGGCGCCGCCGAAGGAGCAACCGCCCCGGAAACUCUCAGGCACCAUGGACUGCGGGAA